rnacentral:rRNA from 1 species
GAUGAACGCUGGCGGCGUGCCUAAUACAUGCAAGUCGAGCGAACAGACGAGGCGCUUGCUCCUCUGACGUUAGCGGCGGACGGGUGAGUAACACGUGGAUAACCUACCUAUAAGACUGGGAUAACUUCGGGAAACCGGAGCUAAUCCCGGAUAAUCUAUUGAACCGCAUGGUUCAAUAGUGAAAGACGGUUUUGCUGUCACUUAUCGAUGGAUCCGCGCCGCAUUAGCUAGUUGGUAAGGUAACGGCUUACCAAGGCAACGAUGCGUAGCCGACCUGAGAGGCGGAUAGGCCACACUGGAACUGAGACACGGUCCAGACUCCUACGGGAGGCAGCAGUAGGGAAUCGGCCGCAAUGGGCGAAAGCCUGACGGAGCAACGCCGCGUGAGUGAUGAAGGUCCUCGGAUCGUAAAACUCUGUUAUUAGUGAAGAACAAAUGUGUAAGUAACUAUGCACGUCUUGACGGUAACUAAUCAGAAAGCCACGGCUAACUACGUG